CUAGAGGCCUCACAUCACAAUCCACUCUAAGCAAUAUAUGCCAUUGUUUUCACUAAGCACUUACACUGGUUUGUGUUACCUUCAAAACCUUCCUUUGUUGGUGUUUGGAAUCUUCACUAUUUAUCUUCUCAAUCACGUCACAUCUUAGCAGUCUGUGCAUAUACCAUGAGGCUCCCUGUCCAUACACUUCACAUCCCCCUUGCUCCCUCUUGUUUCAAGUCCCCUUCAUAACCUUUAGAUUAUAAGAUCACAAGCCAUUUACUUAACAUGUUGUAUUAAAAGACUGUAAACUCCAUAUCUCAGCAAGGUGCUCUUCC